AUUUUUGAAAUUGAAAAUUAAAUUUGGGAGUUGGAAUUUUGAAGGAUUAUUAAAAGAUGGAAUUUUAAAAUGAACUUGAAAAUUAGAAUCUAAAAAAAAUAUUUGAGGAAUGAGAUUUCUUAAAGAAUCUAGAUAUUGGAAGUUUUUAGGAAAUUAUGUGAGAAUGGAAGUGAGAAUAUGACCAUUAGAAAGUGCUUAAAUUAAUUGAGAAAGAAACUAGAUUGUUAACACAUGUAGGCGUGGAGGAUAAAAUAAUAAUAACAUAAAAAAGAAAAAGAAAAUGGGCAUGCUUGGGAUUGAGUGCAUAGGUGGCUGCCCAUUUUCUUUGAUGAUGGCCCUACUAUUCCUCUGACUUGCACUUUGUCCCAUGAUGAAAUUGAAUUCACCCAUGGAUUAUAUGACCAGCAUGCCGACCCUUCCACCAACUCCAAAGCCGCAAGUCAAGAGGGUUGCCAUAAAAAAUUGGGACGUAAUUAGAAUGGGACUAGAUAAUGUUACCCAAACAUUCGGUCAGUCCAGGGGAUAGUAACUAUUACUUAACAGCUAUAAUAGAUUAUCAGAGGGGAAUGAACAAGUAACAAAGAGAAAGGCGGAGCAAAAUGUGAAAAGAAACAAGAGCAGCUGAUCCAAACUAAGAGGAAAGACCUGAUAUGCUAACUGUAGACAACACACCUUCCUCACCGGCCAUUUGGCUCGGCAAGCCUGGGUCUGCAUCCCAUCUGCUCAAUAAAUUUGGUGAGGCGCAAGUGCUUUGCACUCCACUACUCAGCCAACUUCUGCUCCUUGGAUUCUGCAUCCCUCCUCAGUCCUGCUAACUGAAUGUAUUAGAUGUCCUCUCAAACUUCCCCUGAUUUCUUUUCGUAUCUCCUCCUCCCGCUUGCUCUCUUUUUCUUUCUCCCCUCCUUCAGAUUUUUUUUUUCUCCUUCGAAAAUCUCCCUCCUGCUCUGCCAAAACCCAAGCCUCAAAACCAGCCUGCCUCUCUGUCCUCUCUCGCACUCGCCUACUGAAAAAGAUCAAUGUUUCUCUCUCUCCCUCGUUCCCUCAAGCUCUCCUCCAGCCAUCUUCUCUGUGUCUUUUUCUCUCCUAUUUCUAUCUUCCACAGCAAGCCACUACCGGCUCCACUAUUGCUCCACUCAGCAAGUAUGACCCCUCUGACCACCAGCAUGGCCGGCCAUCUUGACUUGCUGCCUCCACCAGCUCGUCUCAUGUGUCGGGAAGGGGUCCCCCCAUUUGCCUAGGGUGCUGCCAACUGCUGGUGAUGAGAAGGCACCCUUUCAAUGUUAUAAAAUCCUUAAAAAAAACUUAAAAGUCCCCGGCUCUUGAAAGGGGGUCUACAAAUAUGCCCCUCUUCGGUAGAGUUCACAAGUGUAAGGAACAUGAACACUAGAGUGAAAAGAAAGUGUGAAUAGUGAGUGGAAUGAAGUGGACUCUACCGAAGAACCAAGGAGACCCCCAUAGGGACAUUGGUGAAACACGAACUCGCUCAGACUAACAGAUGGACAACGAGGCUUUAAUCCCAAUAAGGAAGGAUGUCUCAAAAUGUCUCUAAAGUCACACUGAGGACCCAAGCUCCCUCUAAGAUGUCUCCAAAAGUGACCCAAGAGACCAUGACAAAGAUGAGUAACGGUCGAACCACUCUGGAGUACAAGAAAGAAUGUGCCCGAAAAGAGACUGUCCUAUGUGAACCACAUGAAAACAACAGGUGUAGGGUGCUCAAUAACAUGACAGAAAUACGUAUCGUGAACUCAAAGGACUAUGCCAUGAGCAGUGAGAAGGGAAAGUCUAGAAGAGCAAUGAUGAAUAGGCAAUAAACACCAAGUAACCAGGUGAGGAGAACGACUCUGAACGCCUAAAAUGGAUGAUGUAUGAUGACCCCAAAAAUGCCUGGAUGAGUAUGCAUAAUGGCUCUAAAUGCCAAAUCUGGAAAUGUGACUCUAAAUGUCAUACCGAAACAAAGACCUGGACGUCAAACUGACCUGAUAGGAAAAAUGAAUAACCGAUUUAUAUGGGUGCGGUCCCGACUCAAACUAAACACAAACUGAUAGGAAAAUGGCCGAUCGAUAUGGGUGCGGCCCCGACUCAAACAGACAUGACAAGAUAAAUGAUAAGAAGAUGACCGACCGAUAUAGGUGCAGCCCUAGAAACUGAACUGUCAUGACAAGGAGAUGGCCGAUCGAUAUAGGUGCAGCCCCGACUCAAACUGACACGAUAAUGAUCGAUCGAUAUAGAUGCGGUCCCAGAAACUGAACUGAUAGGAAGAUGACCGAUCGAUAUAGGUGCGGCCUCGGCUCAAGAUGACAAGAUAAUGACCGAUCAAUAUAGGUGCGGUCCCAGAAACUAAACUGAUAGGAAGAUGGCUGAUCGAUAUAGGUGUGGCCCCGACUCAAGAUGACACGAUAAUGACCGAUCGAUAUAGGUGCGGCCCCGACUCAAACUGACACGAUAAUGACCGAUCGAUAUAGGUGCGGUCUCGACUCGAAUUGAACUGAUAGGAAGAUGGCCGAUUGAUAUAGGUGCGGCCCCGACUCAAACUGACACGACGAAUGACCAAUCGAUAUAGGCGCGGCCCCGAACUCUAAUUGAUAAGACAAUGACCGAUCGAUAUAGGUGCGGUCCCGACUCGAACUGAACUGAUAGGAAGAUGACCGAUCGAUAUAGGUGUGGCCCCGACUCAAACUGACACGUUAAUAACCGAUCGAUAUAGGUGCGGUCCCAGAAACUGAACUGAUAGGAAGAUGGCCGAUCGAUAUAGGUGCGGCCCCGGAAACUGAACUGUCAUGACAAGGAGAUGGCCGAUCGAUAUAGGUGCGGUCCCAGAAACUGAACUGAUAUGAAGAUGGCCGAUCGAUAUAGGUGUGGCCCCGACUCGAACUGAACUGAUAGGAAGAUGACCGAUUGAUACAGGUGCGGCCCCGACUCAAACUGACACGACGAAUGACCGAUCAAUAUAGGUGCGGUCCCGACUCGAACUAAAUUGAUAGGAAGAUGACCGAUCGAUAUAGGUGCGGCCCCGACUCAAACUGACACGAAAAUGACCGAUCGAUAUAGGUGCGGCCCCGACUCAAACUGAAACGAUAAUGAAGAUGGUCGAUCGAUAUAGGUGCGGCCCCGACUCAAACUGACACGACGAAUGACCGAUCGAUAUAGGUGCGGUCCCAGACUCGAGCUGAACUGAUAGGAAGAUGGCCGAUUGAUAUAGGUGCAGCCCCGACUCAAACUGACACGACGAAUGACUGAUCGAUAUAGGUGCGGUCCCAGAAACUGAACUGACAUGACAAGGAGAUGGCCGAUCGAUAUAGGUGCGGCCCCGACUCAAACUGAAAUGAUAAUGACCGAUCGAUAUAGGUGCGAUCCCAGAAACUGACUGACAUGACAAGGAGACGGCCGAUCGAUAUAGGUGCGGCCCCGACUCAAACUGUCACGAUAAUGACUGAUCGAUAUAGGUGCGGUCCCAGAAACUGACUGACAUGACAAGGAGAUGGCCGAUCGAUAUAGGUGCGGCCCCAACUCAAACUGACACGAUAAUGACCGAUCGAUAUAGGUGAGGUCCCAGAAACUGACAGGAAGAUGGCCGAUUGAUAUAGGUGCGGGCCCGACUCAAACUGACACGAUAAUGACCAAUCAAUAUAGGUGCGGCCCCGACUCAAACUGAAACGAUAAUGACCAAUCGAUAUAGGUGCGGUCUCGACUCGAACUGAACUGACAGGAAGAUGGCCGAUCGAUAUAGGUACGGCCCCAACUCAAACUGACACGACAAUGACCGAUCGAUAUAGGUGUGGUCCCGACUCGAACUGAACUGAUAGGAUGAUGAUGAGAAAAUGAUCGAGUGACUGAAAGCCAUAUGAUACUAAGAUGAUGAUGCAAGCAAACUCGGCAGGAGGGGACAUGCCCCAGUAUGACAACUCAUGAGGAUCGACAACUAGGUCAGAAGGUGAAUGAAGCCUACGGAAGACUCGAUGCUCUCGGAGAAGGGGGUAUGCCCCAGUAUGCAAUGAUGAACAGACAGAGAUGCAAAAUGCCUUAAAACUACUGUAUUCUAAAAUAUGUUCAUCCAUCAUGUAAUGAAAAUGUCCAACCUCAAAUAGGUAAAGCCAAAUAGGACCAUGUGUCGUGACACCAUGCUGACAAAACAAGACUAACUGAUGAAUAAAACAAUGAUGACCAAUGCUCAAAAUGCAAAGGGCAAACAAAAUCAACACUCAACAUGCCAACUAUCAAAAUGAAAGCAUCGUCACUAAUAAGUCAACAAUCUGGCAAGCCCUGCUAUCAUGGAAGAUAUUGAACCUAAAGUCCAAAAGAUGUAUGAAAACACAACCAAGGCGAUCGAGGAUUGAUCUACAUCUCCUCCUAAUCGAGAAAAUGGUGAAGUCAUGUGUCACGGUGCGAUGUGUAGGAUAAAAGAAGGUAAUGAUCAGGCUCUGGUAAGAUAGAAAGUAUGAAAGUAUCAAGGGUGAAAUGUUUGAGUAUGAAAUAAAAGGUAGGGAGAUAUCCGAGAUCAUCCAAGUAUGCCGAGAAGACUAAACCCGAGGUGUCGAUAACUCCGUAAUCCAUCAGAAGUAAUAAUCAUGAACGAAAAGUCAAAUCUCGAUAUCAAAACAUCCGACUAAGUGGCUAUGCCCCAGUAUGCAAUGAGGAUAACAUGAAAUAAUCCAAUGAUCUCCAUAUCAAUCGGUAGAUGCUCCAAUGUAAAGAACCAAUCUGAUCUCCCUCCAAAAGAUGGACAUGCCCCAGUGUAAAGGAUUUGAUAGGGUGACUAUGCUCCAAUGAAGAAUGCUCCCCAUCCCAGCUAUGUCCCAGUGUAAAGUAGUGUAUCCGAGUCAACAAAUCAAUCAAUCUCUACUCCUGGUGCUAAAAAUGGAAACCUCUCAACAUAAUCCAUAUGAAUCAGAAUCCCCGAGCUUUAUGAGUACGAAUGAACUGGCUAUGCCCCCAGUAUAAACCAUCUGAAGUGACUAUGCUCCAAUGGAAAAUCAAAGUCCGUCACCAAUGAGAAGGUCACGCCUCAAAGUAAAUCGUCAUCUCAAAAAUCAACUAUCAAUGAGUGGAACAUGUCCCAAUGCAGAGCAUCAAGUAGAGUGACUGUAUCUCCAAUAAAAGCGCUCUCUGAAAUGGCUAUGCCCCAGUGUAGGGUCAUCCAACAACUCCUGAUCCAUCAUAAUCCAAUGUGAAAGAAGCAAACCGACUAUGCCUCAAUGUAAAACAUCAUCCCGAAAGAAACUGUCAUCGAUGAGUGGGGUAUGCUCCAGUGUAGAUAACGGCGCCUCUGAAAAUCCAUCACUGAUAAUAGGGGUAUGCCCCAGUGUAAAUCAUCAUCCCAACUCCCCAUCCAUCAUGCUCCGAGGAAUAAUCUCCGACCAAGCUCAAGUAUUGCCCACGUGUGAGCUGUCAAACACAAUGUGUGAAGUAAUGGCCUCAGGGUGGUCUUCAGACACGGGACGUAACGUAGGCCAAGGUAAUAGGGUAAAAGAAACGAAAGGAAACUAGGCUCAAAUAUCCCAAUGAUAUAAUCCCCAUACCCCUCAUGCAUGAGAUGCAAUGCGUAGAAAACGUCAUGAGUCCCGGACCUAGUGGUCCCCACACGAAAAGUGAUGAUAAAUGAAUGGUCUCAUCGAAUAAGCAAUAAUGAAGUGUGGAUGCUGAACCCAUGUCAAACAUCAAACAGAAUGAAAAAAGAAUGAGAUAAGAUGAAGUGGAGUGAAACGGAGGGAUAAAAUAAAGAUAGAAGAAGACGAAGAGAUAGAAAAGUGAGUGAUGGUCAACUCGCAUCAAAGCAUGGAAAGUAGUCACAUCCGAAAUAGACGGAAUGAUGGAUAGAGCAAGGAUCCAGAGAUACUAAAAGAAAGGUCGCUCGUCUCUCUCACAAAAUUCGAAUGAGCGACUCAUACUCUCACCCAAAAUAUACCAAGAUGGAAUCUCAGAAAGAAGCUUUCAUACGAACUCUCUCUAACACAUGAACCCAAUGAAGCAAACUAGCAUGUCCAUACACAUGCCCAAUGGAAAAUAAUAAAAUGAACAAUGCGCUAUCUUUUUUUUUUUUUUUUUUUUUUUUUUUUUUUUUUUUUGCGCAUACUCUGAUCAAUAAUGAAUGAACUCCCAUGAAAUACAUAGCCAAAUGAAUAAACUCUCACCAUGUACUGAUGUAACACGAAUCCUCACUAAUAAGACGACCUCUCAAAAUAAGAUCUCUGAACCAUUGCUCAUAAGGCGAACGGGGGGAAGAACGUGACAAUCCUCCAUGUAAUGAUGUGUGAAAAACCACCACUCAAGGUGAAACAUGGGUAAUGUCGAGUAAGCAAUAAUGAAAGAAAAGGCAGAGAACGAAUAUCACAAGUGGUGAUAUGUGAUAUAAGAAAAAUAGUGAUGAAAUGAUGUCCAAGUGGAAAAUAUCACAGUGAAGAGUGAAGAAUGAGGCUCGAAUAAGUGUGUCAAGUCUGGAACUCAUGACGUAUCCAAACAUAGCAUGCAAGCACUACAGGGUCUCCAACCUGGUGUAAUAGGUAAAUGAAGUGAUGAAAGAAAAGGCUAUGUGCUCGCAUGAGGCUCAAAGGGCUAGCAACGGGUAACUCUAUAUGCGAGGGUGAUAAAGUAAAUAGGCUUAUGAAAUAAUGGCCACCCAUCCUUUGACCAAAACCUCGAACAUCGUGCUUUCGAGAUCUCACAUGGCCAAUACUAAAGACUGGCAUCCAUCCAACAUAGUCAUGGCGACUCCUCUGAAAUCGCGUGAAAGCCCUCACUGAUGUUCUGUGAUAACCGUCAAUGUCCUCUGAAAAUCAACUCACUCUAUCAUCACAAGCCACUCACCAUCGUCUCAUAAAAUCACCAUCUCUAAUCAUCCCGACUCUCUGAAAUCAUGUGUAACGACUCAAAUCUGGAUGCUCCAUGACGAUCCAUCUGCCUCAACAACAUCAUCAAGCAAUCAAGCCACUCUCUCAUCACGAUCCAUCUAUCAUCAUGUAAAGCUCACCUCGGGUCUAACCAUCUCGGACUCUGCCUAGUCAGACCAAGGAAAUGAUGGAAAGGAAAGGCAAUGGUACUAUAGCAUGAUAAGGCGAACAAGGGUGGUAAAGUCGUGUAAUGGUACCAAGGGAUGGUGUCAUGUUAGGCUCAAAAUGGGUAGGUCGUCAAGUCCAUAGAGUCAAAGUACGAAUAGGGAUAUGGUACUCGCUCUAAUCAAAAGGAGAAAUGGGUCACAAUCUCAAACUCCCUAGGUCGAUCUCCUGAUCCUAGGUCAAUAAGCUCAAUAUCCUCCAUGAUAGGUCAGGCCAAAGUGAUCAUGAUGUAUAAGUGAAAAUAUGUCUCAAAUCAAAAGUACAACACAUCAUAUGAAAUAUGGUCCUAUGAUGGCAAUCUAUAACUGGAAAUAUGACAGAAACUCUAAGGUCAUAAAGGUGUCCACUAUGAGAUGGCUACAAAUGUGACUAAAGAAUUUCUAUCAACGAUCCAAAAAAAUGAAUGAGGUGUGAAAAACAACACUGUCAUGAGAUCGAUACUCCAUCUAUAACAACAAUAUCCUUGAAUCAACCUUCGACUUGAGCUCCAUAAGAGAAAAAUAAUAAGGUGAUCAAGGCGACUCUCUCAAAAAAAGUGUGAAUAUGAAAACGUGCCUUUCACCUUUCCGUAAUGAAAAUAUGAGCAUCGGAUUGAAAAUUGAAUCAAGUAUCCAACGAAGAAUGGGGUACUGAGCCCGUGAUAGGUGUACAAUGCAAAAACAAGAUGAUCAUGAUCGAUGAACAUAUCCUGAAGCAUCAAGUAAGUGACAACAAAGUGAAGGGGUAUGUCGAGCCAAGAAAUGAGAAUGAAAGCCCUAAGGAGAAAACAUGCUAAACUCAUCGAGUGAAAAACAUAAUCCAAGGUGACAUGACGAAAGGUGAUCCAACCGAUACUCAGACUCAUACUGAUCUCCGAGCACUCUCAACUAGAGACUAAAAAGAGGGAGUGUCAAAUCUAAACUGUGACUAAAGAGGCUCUGAAGGCCCUCAGAUGCACCCACGUGUAGGGAGAGAGUCCUAAUCGAAGGAUCUAUGGCUCAACCUACAAGGUGAAGGUGGUUCUAGAUGGAUGAGGGUGGACUUUAAAGGAUCCCUAGCAGAAGCGAUCAUACCCUCCGGCGGUACGCAACCCUCUGCACGCCUCCGAAGAGACGGGCUGCUUCCAUGCAAGGUGGUCAUCACCUCCACACAUGCACUACCUCGACAUCCCAAGGGGCUCCAAUGGUGAAAGCUCUCACAACUCUCAACACUCAAUGGUCGACUGAUGUGCACAGUGAACGGUGUGGGUGCAUCCGAUAAUCCUAUGAAACUAAAAGAAAACACACUGGCCACACAAAGAUCCUGAAAUCUAGCUCUGGACUAUACAAGUCUUCAAAGUUUGGACUCCAAUCAGCAUCAAUAUGUCGACCACCUCCAGAAUGCUCCCAAACAUAGAUAUAGCCCAUCGCUAGACCCUACUCCUAAUCACUAGCUCGGUCGAAGAGCAAACAGGUCUCAUAUCAAAUACGAGAUCAAGGAAAACAAUGUCGACCAAGACUAGGGACUUGGAAAUAAGGGGAUAAGUGUGUGUCCCACAUAGACACGCAACUCAUGCAGUCACAUAGAACGAGAAAAGUCAUGCAACAGACAGUCAUGCAAAACAGGUAUAUACCAUCCAAAUCUACACACAAGCUAAUCGAGAAGAAUAUGUGGCAAUGAUAGCAUGCUCCAUGAAAAUCAAGAUAAUAUAUAACCGAGAGAAGUAAUCAUGUCAAAUCAAAUGAUAUACAAUGGCGAGUCUAUACAUGUGAAGUGAUCAAAACAAACAUGACAAAAUCAGGGUCACUAUGCUAAACAAUGUAAGAUAAUCGAUCAAUGCAACUAGCAUAUCAGUGUCUCAAACAAAUAUAGCAAUGAAUCACGAAAAAAAAAAAAUCGCCACAAUCAAAAUCCUCAAUCAAGAUAAACAAUCAUCAUAAUCAAUGAUGUCAAUGCCCCAAGUAAAAACAAACACCCAAGCAUGCAUCUAAUAGUAUCGGGAACUCUCAAUGUGCAAUCAAGAAAUAGGUACCCCCUGAUUGACUCAUCAAUCGCCACGUUUGCUUCAUCCUAAGUUCAAGUUUGACCCUCUAAAAGUGUCCCUAGUGGAGUCGCCAUUUUGUGGACCCCGCAUUUCUGCUCAUGCGUUUCCCACUCGAUGGCGAGCUCGAUUUUUUAUUUAAAAAAUUUAUUUUUAUUUGAUUAAGAAAAAUGACUUGGAGUCGCCACUUAUUUUUGUUUUAUUUUUAAAAAGGGUAAACAAAAUAAGAAAGAAAAACCCUAAGUGUGACUCCUUAUUUUGGAAAAGGUGGUCUGCGAAAAACCGGAUCGAGUUCGGGGGUCAGGUUACUUAUCGGGAAGGUACGGUAAAAACCGUAACACCCUUCUAAGUCCCUAAAGUCGGGUCUCUACAAAUAAAAUGAAGUUGACAUGGCAAUUGAUGAGGAAAUCAAUGAAUACCCGGAACUAUCAUGCACAUAUGAGAAUCAAAGCAUGCAUAUAGAAAUACCAGAAUGGGAAUAGAUAUGUACCUGGGCGACGAGCCACAAUAAGCUUAUCAAAAAGUGAGGUUAAUGCACAAUUAAGAAAUAAUUUCGAGCAUGGAUACCAAAUGAAUAUCACUCAAAACAAAAAUAACUGAAUGAAUAGGAGAGACAAAGAAUGUACCUGAGUGAUGAACCGGUCAAUCGCGCGUGACAAACAAAUCAAUAAAUGAAUCAAUCAAUCAUAAAAUCAUGUAUGUGGGGCCCCCACCAAAGCCCGAUCGAUCUUGCAUGAAUUAAUCUCACAAAUUCCAUUAUUCUGAAAUUAUGAAAGUGACAUUCACGCUUAUAUAAAACCAAGAGGAACAUGAGAUUAUUUGAAAACCGGAAUGAAAUUAAAACUGUUCGAGUGAAGACUGGAUUUUUGAACUUUGUUUGAAAAUUGGAGUAUCGAAAAUUAUUUGGAAAUUGGAGUUUUGGAAAUUAAAUUUAAGAAUUGGAAUUUUAGGGAUUAAAUUCGAAUGAAAACAUAAUUUUGAAAAUUAUUUGGGAAGUAGAAACUAUCAAAGUUAAAUUAUGAAAAUUGGGACUUUAGAAAUUAAAUUUUGAAAGAAAUUAGAAUUGGAAAUUAUUUAAGAAUUAGAAAUCAUGAAAAUUAAAUUACAUAAAUUGGAAUUUUGGAAAUUAUUUGAAGGUGGAAUUUUUCUAAAGAUAAAUAACUAAAAUGAUGAUGAUAAUAAUAUUAAUAACAAUAAUAAUAAUAAUAAUAAUAAUAAUAAUAAUAAUAAUAAUAAUAAUAAUAAUAAAUAAACGUGAAUAGUGAAAUUUUUGAAAUUGAAAAUUAAAUUUGGGAGUUGGAAUUUUGAAGGAUUAUUAAAAGAUGGAAUUUUAAAAUGAACUUGAAAAUUAGAAUCUAAAAAAAAUAUUUGAGGAAUGAGAUUUCUUAAAGAAUCUAGAUAUUGGAAGUUUUUAGGAAAUUAUGUGAGAAUGGAAGUGAGAAUAUGACCAUUAGAAAGUGCUUAAAUUAAUUGAGAAAGAAACUAGAUUGUUAACACAUGUAGGCGUGGAGGAUAAAAUAAUAAUAACAUAAAAAAGAAAAAGAAAAUGGGCAUGUGCUUGGGAUUGAGUGCAUAGGCGGCUGCCCAUUUUCUUUGAUGAUGGCCCUACUAUUCCUCUGACUUGCACUUUGUCCCAUGAUGAAAUUGAAUUCACCCAUGGAUUAUAUGACCAGCAUGCCGACCCUUCCACCAACUCCAAAGCCGCAA
rnacentral:lncRNA from 1 species